GGUCUUUCUAGUGUGUGCCCAAGGGCACACAUUAAGCACUAAAUUUGAUGAGUUUAGUGGAUUUUGAUUGGUGGAGUUGGUGUAAAUGCAAGGGGGGCCAUCCAUAUUUAUGAUUACAUGACCAAUAAGAAUGCACCAAACUCAUAAAAAUUAGUGCUUAGUGUGUGCCCUUGGGCACACCAUAGAAAAACCGAUAUAA
rnacentral:lncRNA from 1 species